rnacentral:rRNA from 1 species
UACAGAGGUCCCAAGCGUUGUUCGGAUUCACUGGGCGUAAAGGGUGCGUAGGUGGCGAGGUAAGUUUGAUGUGAAAUCUCCGAGCUCAACUCGGAAACUGCAUUGAAUACUAUCUUGCUAGAGGGUUGGAGGGGAGACUGGAAUUCUCGGUGUAGCAGUGAAAUGCGUAGAUAUCGGAGAGGAACACCAGUGGCGAAGGCGAGUCUCUAGACAACUCCUGACACUGAGGCACGAAAGCUAGGGGAGCAAACAGG